UCUCCAUAGAAGCAGCUGUACAUAGGUAAGGUGGCUCAGUUGCCCCAGCAGCCCAGCCCCCACUUUGUGGCCUCAGGCACUCUGCCCGGGCCCCGCCCCCCGUGGGCUAGAGGGAGGUGCUGGCACCUGGGCAGUUCCCAUGGCAGCAUCUGAGAAGGCACAGGCAGCAGGGAGGAGGGGAGGAGUUCAGGGGCCCAAGAGAAGGGCGCUUUGUGAGUGGCCAGUUCCCAUGGCAACUGCAAGGCGCCUCCACAACAGCCAGGAACCCAGUAGCCAAGGCUAGAAGCUCUCAGGAAGCUCAGUGUUUGGAAGCCUGGAACUGUCCAUGUCUGCAGCCUGGAGCAGAACAUCGAUCGAGAUGGGAUAUUUGCAGCACUGACAUGCCCUAAAUUGUUCUGUUUCCAUUUCCUGGAAGCUAACACUUCUUGAGCAUUUGCAAGCCAAACACUGUGGUGGCUACUGGGACCCUAGGAAAAAGAUCCAGCCACUGGCCUUUGACUGACAGGGCUCCCAGCCUAGAGAGUGAGCUCAGCAUUCAGGAUUCUUAAAACAAACAUGUUCACAUGCAGUGACUGUCACUGUGGAGCAUCGGAUGGUUGUCACAACAGGAGUCCUGGUCAGCCCUAGCACAGUGUUAGAAUAGGACCAAGAGAAAACCAAGAAGAGAGGAUGCAGGAGGUGAGUGGAGGCCUCUGCAGUCUUCCAUGGACACCCACCAUCCGUCUGUCAAUCACUCCACAAGUUUGCAAGAACCAACACCCAGCUGCCCACUACUCUAGACACACUCAUCAGCCAAGAGGUGGUGAGUACGGUGGAGAGACAGAGGGAGGUAGGGAUGGGCGUUGGCGGAGAGGAAGGUGCCGCUCCACAGGAGGGACAGUGUGAAGAUUGGCCGGAAUUUCCACAUGGCAUCUGGGAACCAGACGCUCCAGGCAGAGGGACCAUGUACAGAAGCCCAAGGCAGGCAGGUGCAGGGAGUGUUCCAAGGAUGAGCAAGAAUCGGGCCUGCGACAGCAAGUGCAGAGGGCUAAGGUCAGAGGAGGAGGGAGGGGGUCUUAUAGGUACUGUUUGGUGCUUGGAUUUUACUCUCCGUGGAUGGGAAGCCGUGGCUUGUUUUACAUGUGCAGACUGUCACUCUGGCCACUCAGAGAUUAUGGGAACAAAAGUGUGAAGAGUAAACCAGCCAUGGCAGUAGGUCUGCCACUUAGUGGACAUUUGGAAAUUUCUUGAGAAGAUUUUGGUUGUCCCAAAUGGGGAAAGUGGUGGAUGCUAUUGGCAUCCAGUGGGUUGAAGCAGGUGUCUUAGCUCAUUUUCAUUGCUAUAACGGAAUGCCCAAGACUGUGUAAUUAUGAAGAAGUUCGUUUGGGCUUAAUGUUCUGGAAGCUGUGAAGUCCAAGGUCAGACCACUGCAUCUAGUGGUGGCCGCAUGCUGCUGUGCUUCACAAGGGAAAGGAAAGAGGGCACAUGGAGGUAGACUCACUUUAUACAGCCUCAUUGCUCAGUAAUAAGCCAAGUUCCACAAGAGCAAGAGCUUACUCUUCUGAGAAAGGCAUUCACGAAGGCUCCAUCCCACAACCCAAACAUCACUACUAGGUCCCAACACUGCCCCACUGGGGAAUUAGGGUUCCAACAUGUGAACUUCUGGGAGACAUGCUCAAACCCUGGCACCAGGGAUGCUGCUAGUCAUCCUACAGUCAGAGGACAGCUCCUGCCACCAAGAAUUAUGGGCCCUACAUGUGAAUAAUGCCAGGGAUGAGAAAUCCAGAAUUAGGGAUCACUGCCAUCUUCAAGGCAAGAGUCACUUGUUGUCUAGCUUCUGGGCACUUAGGCGGUGCCAGGCACCAGUCCCAGAACUGAGGCACAGCAAUGACUAAACCAGGCAAAGGUGUCUGCCCUCACGGAGCUCUGUGUGGCAGUGAUGGUGGAAGCCAAGAAGAGCCUGGAGUGCAGGGGUGGUGAGAAUAAUCCGAUUUUAUAAACAUCUGGUCAACUGCCAGGAUUUGCUGAGGACAGUGCUGCAGUAGGAGAGGAGUCUGUCAACCCCGGGGGCUUCACUUGGAGCAAUUGGAACUGAGUUAUCAUGCGCUGAGAUGGAACCUCCAGGACAGAAAGGGAUGGUGGGGAUGGGAAAUCGGGGGUGUUGUUUUGGAUGGAAUAAGUGGAAAUCAGGGCAAUUGGGUAUUUUAGUCUGGAGGUCAAAAAAAAAAAAGAGAAAGGUCUCUUUUGUAGGAGAUAACAUUUAGAAAUUGUCAAGGGUGAAGGAGAUCACCUGGGGGCUCUGCAAAUAGAAGACAUACCUGCAGCAAGCCUGAGCUCCCAUCGUGGAGACUGGAGACCAACGAGUAAGAGAAGACAAGCCCAGGAAGAGGGCAGGAGGCCGAAUGAAGGCUGGAUCUCCAAGAGGAGGGAGUGAUCAGACCAUGCCAGGAAGAAAAUCGGAAUCCCACCACCACCCUGUUUGUUCAAAUGACCAGUUUCUCCAGGGUGGCAGUGGCACAACCUGGUUCAUUCAGGAAGCUGUGAAGUCCAAGGUCAGACCACUGCAUCUAGUGGUGGCCUCAUGCUGCCGUGCUUCACAACGGAAAGGAAGAGGGUGCGUGGAGGUAGACUCACUUGAUAGCAGCCUCGUUGCUCAGUAAUAAACCCACCAUCUCUCCAGGGAUUUCAGCCUCUCUUAGGGGUGUGUUGUGGUUUGGAUGUGAGGUGUCCCCCAAAAGCUCACGUGUGAGACCAUGAAAGAAAGUUCAGUGGAGAGAUGAUUGGAUUAUGAGAGCCUUAACCUAAUCCGUGCCUUAAUUUGCUGAUAGAGAUUAAUUGGGUGGAAACUGUAGAAAUGUGGGAUGUGGCUGG